UACGGGGGGGGCAAGCGUUGCUCGGAAUCACUGGGCGUAAAGGGCGCGUAGGCGGCGUUUUAAGUCGGGGGUGAAAGCCUGUGGCUCAACCACAGAAUGGCCUUCGAUACUGGGACGCUUGAGUAUGGUAGAGGUUGGUGGAACUGCGAGUGUAGAGGUGAAAUUCGUAGAUAUUCGCAAGAACACCGGUGGCGAAGGCGGCCAACUGGACCAUUACUGACGCUGAGGCGCGAAAGCGUGGGGAGCAAACAGG
rnacentral:rRNA from 1 species